rnacentral:rRNA from 1 species
GAUGAACGCUGGCGGCGUGCCUACUACAUGCAAGUCGAGCGAACAGACGAGGAGCUUGCUCCUCUGACGUUAGCGGCGGACGGGUGAGUAACACGUGGAUAACCUACCUAUAAGACUGGGAUAACUUCGGGAAACCGGAGCUAAUACCGGAUAAUAUAUUGAACCGCAUGGUUCAAUAGUGAAAGACGGUUUUGCUGUCACUUAUAGAUGGAUCCGCGCCGCAUUAGCUAGUUGGUAAGGUAACGGCUUACCAAGGCAACGAUGCGUAGCCGACCUGAGAGGGUGAUCGGCCACACUGGAACUGAGACACGGUCCAGACUCCUACGGGAGGCAGCAGGAGGGAAUCUUCCGCAAUGGGCGAAAGCCUGACGGAGCAACGCCGCGUGAGUGAUGAAGGUCUUCGGAUCGUAAAACUCUGUUAUUAGGGAAGAACAAAUGUGUAAGUAACUAUGCACGUCUUGACGGUACCUAAUCAGAAAGCCACGGCUAACUACGUG